GCGACGACGGGUAGCCGGCCUGAGAGGGUGACCGGCCACACUGGGACUGAGACACGGCCCAGACUCCUACGGGAGGCAGCAGUGGGGAAUAUUGCACAAUGGGCGAAAGCCUGAUGCAGCGACGCCGCGUGAGGGAUGACGGCCUUCGGGUUGUAAACCUCUUUCAGUAGGGAAGAAGCGAAAGUGACGGUACCUGCAGAAGAAGCGCCGGCUAACUACGUGCCAGCAGCCGCGGUAAUACGUAGGGCGCAAGCGUUAUCCGGAAUUAUUGGGCGUAAAGAGCUCGUAGGCGGUUUGUCGCGUCUGCCGUGAAAGUCCGGGGCUCAACUCCGGAUCUGCGGUGGGUACGGGCAGACUAGAGUGAUGUAGGGGAGACUGGAAUUCCUGGUGUAGCGGUGAAAUGCGCAGAUAUCAGGAGGAACACCGAUGGCGAAGGCAGGUCUCUGGGCAUUAACUGACGCUGAGGAGCGAAAGCAUGGGGAGCGAACAGGAUUAGAUACCCUGGUAGUCCAUGCCGUAAACGUUGGGCACUAGGUGUGGGGGACAUUCCACGUUUUCCGCGCCGUAGCUAACGCAUUAAGUGCCCCGCC
rnacentral:rRNA from 1 species